GUAGGUGAACCUGCGGAAGGAUCAUUAGUGAAUUUAGCAUAUUUUCGAAAGAAAAAUGUGACCCUACUCUAUACAUUGUGCAUUUAUUGACAGACUUUCAGUUGAAUUAGAUCUUGGUCACUCUCGAUUUAAUAAGACUAUUGUUUGUGGCUCACUUUUAAACACCAGUAUAAGUAUGUAAAAAAAUAAAAUAAGAAAAACUUUCAACAACGGAUCUCUUGGCUCUC
rnacentral:misc_RNA from 1 species